rnacentral:rRNA from 1 species
UACAGAGGGUGCAAGCGUUGUUCGGAAUUAUUGGGCGUAAAGGGCGCGUAGGCGGUGCGGUAAGUCUGUAGUGAAAUCUCUGGGCUCAACUCAGAGUCUGCUGCAGAAACUCCCGAGCUUGAGUCCCGGAGAGGAAGGCGGAAUUCUCGGUGUAGAGGUGAAAUUCGUAGAUAUCGAGAGGAACACCUGUGGCGAAGGCGGCCUUCUGGACGGGUGAACUGACGCGUGAGACGGCGAA